AACGAACGCUGGCGGCAGGCUUAACACAUGCAAGUCGAACGAGACCUUCGGGUCUAGUGGCAGACGGGUGAGGAACACGUGGGAACAUCCCUUUCAGUUCGGAAUAACGUUGGGAAACUAACGCUAAUACCGGAUACGUCCUUCGGGAGAAAGAUUUAUCGCUGAAAGAUUGGCCCGCGUCUGAUUAGCUAGUUGGUGAGGUAAUGGCUCACCAAGGCUACGAUCAGUAGCUGAUCUGAGAGGAUGAUCAGCCACAUUGGGACUGAGACACGGCCCAAACUCCUACGGGAGGCAGCAGUGGGGAAUAUUGGACAAUGGGCGCAAGCCUGAUCCAGCCAUGCCGCGUGAGUGAUGAAGGCCUUCGGGUUGUAAAGCUCUUUUGUCCGGGAAGAUAAUGACUGUACCGGAAGAAUAAGCCCCGGCAAACUUCGUGCCAGCAGCCGCUGUAA
rnacentral:rRNA from 1 species